rnacentral:rRNA from 1 species
GAUGAACGCUGGCGGCGUGCCUAAUACAUGCAAGUCGAGCGAAGGGACGGGAAGCUUGUUUCUCUGAUUUUAGCGGCGGCCGGGUGGGUAAAACGUGGAUACCCUCCCUAUAAGCCGGGGAUAACUUCGGGAAACGGAGGUUAUUACGGGAUAAUAUUUUGAACGGAAUGGUUCAAAGGUGAAAGACGGUUUUGCUGUCACUUUUAGAUGGACCCGCGCUGCAUUAGCUAGUUGGUAAGGUACCGGCUUACAAAGGCAACGAUGCAUAGCCGACCUGAGAGGGUGAUCGGCCACACUGGAACUGAGACACGGUCCAGACUCCUACGGGAGGCAGCAGUAGGGAAUCUUCCGCAAUGGGCGAAAGCCUGACGGAGCAACGCCGCGUGAGUGAUGAAGGUCUUCGGAUCGUAAAACUCUGUUAUUAGGGAAGAACAUAUGUGUAAGUAACUGUGCACAUCUUGACGGUACCUAAUCAGAAAGCCACGGCUAACUACGUG